UAAACUGUGGUGAAUACGUUCUCAAGUCUUGUACUCACCGCCCGUCAAGUCAAGGGAGCCGGGAGUACCCGAAGUACCUCUUUAGAGGUCCUACGGUAAGCUCGGUGACAGGGACUAAGUCGUAACAAGGCACGGGUAGCGGAAGCUGCUCGUGGAUUAAUUCAAUU
rnacentral:ncRNA from 1 species